rnacentral:rRNA from 2 species
UGGGCAUGUUGUGUCAGCUCGUUCGUGAGAUGUUGGGUUAAGUCCCGCAACGAGCGCAACCCUUGAUCUUAGUUGCCAGCAUUCAGUUGGGCACUCUAAGGUGACUGCCGGUGACAAACCGGAGGAAGGUGGGGAUGACGUCAAAUCAUCAUGCCCCUUAUGACCUGGGCUACACACGUGCUACAAUGGACAGAACAAAGGGCAGCAAGACCGCGAGGUUGAGCCAAUCCCAUAAAUCUGUUCUCAGUUCGGAUCGCAGUCUGCAACUCGCCUGCGUGAAGCUGGAAUCGCUAGUAAUCGCGGAUCAGCAUGCCGCGGUGAAUACGUUCCCGGGCCUUGUACACACCGCCCGUCACACCACGAGAGUUUGUAACACCCGAAGUCGGUGAGGUAACCUUUAUGGAGCCAGCCGCCGAAGGUGGACAGAUGAUUUGGGGG